AAAGGAAACAAUUUCAUCAAAAAUUUUCCUUCAUUAGUUCUUUCAGUGAAAAUUUUCCCUAUUUUGAAAGGGCAUAAGAAAGAACCGUGGAAAUCUCCACCCUUUCUAUAGACCCGUCAAAAUCUCCAUCUCCACCACUAAGUCGCUCGGUUCUACAGGUACCAAAUCCAGCACCCCUGAAAUUUUCUUCUCCAUUGAUCCAACACCUGCAUCUAAGAAAGAGAAAUUUUCAGCAUUCAAAAGGAGCAAAGAAAAAGGGUUUGAAUCCAAAUAAAGCUCAAAGUCCUAUGAAGAAGAUAAGCUUUGAUUUUCAGUUUCGAUCAAGUGCUGAAUUGGCCAAGUAAUUUCAGAUUAAGAAAGAAAAACCAGCUCAUGAUAAGGAGUAUAGAGUUGUGAAAGAGCAAGCACCACUAGCUCAUAAAUGGAAGCAUCUUAUGCCCACAAUAUCAAAUGCAAGAGAAGGACAGAGUAGAUAAAGGUUAACUCAAUCUAAGGAGUCCUUUCAACAACAAGGAAAUGCGUACAAGUAAAGAGAACAACGAGGAACCAUCAAAGUCUGAAAUACUUAUUGCAACUCAUACAAAGCAAGGGAAGCAAGUUCAUGAAGAUGCUCAAAUUGCAAUAUCUGAACUUCAGAACCGUUAAAACUCUAGGGAUACAUCGGAGAAGCAUUUAGUGCAGUGUUUGGAAGGGAGCAGCCUCGUCGAAUAUAGUGGUAUGGUAGAUCAGUGACAACAAGUUCUUUGAAAAAAUAUGAGGAAAUCAGCAAGCUCCAACAAAAGCAUAACAAUGAAGUCUCUACUUUGAAAGAAGAAAAGCAGGAAAUGAGAGAAGAAAUGCAAGAAUUGAGGCAAUUACGUCAUUGCUUCAAUCUAUUGGUGCAAAAUAAUCCUGGACUAAAUGUUCAAGAUAUACUAGCAUUUGUUGGAUCUAACCAACUUUCUCCGGUUGAUGCAAGUAGCACACUCUUCUGGAUCAACCCAUGGUCCAAUUCAUGAAAAUGUAUUUAGACUCCACAUUUCCACCAAACUUAAAUGCUUUCUGCUUUGUAUUCAGUUUAUUGUCGAAAUUUUUAGUCUUGAAUUAGGUGAUGUAGAUCUUAGAGUCAUUUUAGCCACUAUAGAAAGAUUAGCCACUAAAUGUGGCGAGUUUCAACUUAUUGUUGUCUUUGCUCUAUUGUCCUUCGAGACGUCUGUUAACGGCCAGUUUGCAAGACGACCUGCAGAUGAGAGUGGACUUUUGGUUGCCUGGUUCUUUC